rnacentral:rRNA from 1 species
UACGUAGGGCGCGAGCGUGUCCGGAAUUAUUGGGCGUAAAGGGCUCGUAGGCGGUCUGUCGCGUCGGGAGUGAAAACUCAGGGCUUAACCCUGAGCCUGCUUCCGAUACGGGCAGACCAGAGGUAUGCAGGGGAGAACGGAAUUCCUGGUGUAGCGGUGGAAUGCGCAGAUAUCAGGAGGAACACCGAUUGCGAAGGCAGCUCGCUGGAACGUUACUGACGCUGAGACGCGAAAGCGUGGGGAGCAAACAGG